CGGCUGGAAGAGCACCGCACG
rnacentral:snRNA from 1 species